GUUAGCCAUGCUUGUAUGUUGUGGUUGCGUUACCUUCACCCUGGAAUUACCUUCACCCCUGCUUGGCCACCAGAACCAUCAACUAUGCAGUUCCAUCAAGAUCCCUGUCCACUGAGCAAUUCCAUCACCCAUACUCACCUGUCUAUACGUCUGGCAUUACCUUUUCAAUUACAUUUUUUUCAUCAAUAAAUACUUUUUUUCACCA